GUCCCUGCAGCGUAGUGGAUAGCGCGUUGGACUUCUAAUCCAACGGUCGUGGGCUCUAAUCCUUCCUGGGAUG